rnacentral:rRNA from 1 species
GAUGAACGCUAGCUACAGGCUUAACACAUGCAAGUCGAGGGACCGGCGCAUGGGUGAGUAAUACGUAUCCAACCUGCUCUUUACUCGGGGAUAGCCUUUCGAAAGAAAGAUUCAUCCCCGAUGUCAAGGAUGGGGAUGCGUUCCAUUAGGUUGUUGGUGAGGUAACGGCUCACCACGCCUUCGAUGGGUAGGGGUUCUGUGAGGAAGGGCACUCACAUUGGAACUGAGACACGGCCCAAACUGCUACGGGAGGCAGCAGUGAGGAAUAAAGGGCAGGGGGCGUGAGCCUGAAACAGCCAAGUAGCGAGAAGGAUGUAGGCUUAUGGGUCGUAAACGUCUGUGAUAUAAGAAGAGGUAUUAAAUGAAUAAGGAUCGGCUAACUCCGUGCCAGCAGCCGCGGUAAUUC